UACAGAGGGUGCAAGCGUUAAUCGGAAUUACUGGGCGUAAAGCGUGCGCAGGCGGUGAUGUAAGUCCGAUGUGAAAUCCCCGGGCUUAACCUGGGAACUGCAUUGGUGACUGCAUUGCUGGAGUAUGGCAGAGGGGGGUGGAAUUCCACGUGUAGCAGUGAAAUGCGUAGAGAUGUGGAGGAACACCGAUGGCGAAGGCAGCCCCCUGGGCCAAUACUGACGCUCAUGCACGAAAGCGUGGGGAGCAAACAGG
rnacentral:rRNA from 1 species